rnacentral:rRNA from 1 species
GUCGAACGGAUGGCUACUGCUUUUGUGGUGGUUGUUAGUGGCGAACGGGUGAGUAACACGUGAGUAACCUGCCUUUUUCUUUGGGAUAAGCACCUGAAAGGGUGUCUAAUACUGAUUAUUCUGAUCUGGUCGCAUGGCUGGGUUUGGAAAGCUUUUGUGGAAUUGGAUGGGCUCGCGGCUUAUCAGCUUGUUGGUGGGGUGAUGGCUUACCAAGGCUUUGACGGGUAACCGGCCUGAGAGGGUGACCGGUCACAUUGGGACUGAGAUACGGCCCAGACUCCUACGGGAGGCAGCAGUGGGGAAUAUUGCACAAUGGGCGAAAGCCUGAUGCAGCGACGCCGCGUGAGGGAUGAAGGCCUUCGGGUUGUAAACCUUUUUCGCCCCUGAACAAGGCCGCCUUUGGGUUGGUUGAGGGUAGGGGGUAAAGAAGCUCCGGCUAACUACGUGCCAGCAGCCGCGGUAAUACGUAGGGAGCGAGCGUUGUCCGGAAUUAUUGGGCGUAAAGGGCUUGUAGGUGGCUUGUCGCGUCUGCCGUGAAAGGCUUCAGCUUAACUGGAGUAGUGCGGUGGGUACGGGCUGGCUUGAGUGUGGUAGGGGAGACUGGAAUUCCUGGUGUAGCGGUGGAA